rnacentral:rRNA from 1 species
AUUGAACGCUGGCGGCAUGCCUUACACAUGCAAGUCGAGCGAAUGGAUUAAGAGCUUGCUCUUAUGAAGUUAGCGGCGGACGGGUGAGUAACACGUGGGUAACCUGCCCAUAAGACUGGGAUAACUCCGGGAAACCGGGGCUAAUACCGGAUAACAUUUUGAACCGCAUGGUUCGAAAUUGAAAGGCGGCUUCGGCUGUCACUUAUGGAUGGACCCGCGUCGCAUUAGCUAGUUGGUGAGGUAACGGCUCACCAAGGCAACGAUGCGUAGCCGACCUGGGAGGGGGAUCGGCCACACAGGGACUGAGACACGGCCCAGACUCCUACGGGAGGCAGCAGUAGGGAAUCUUCCGCAAUGGACGAAAGUCUGACGGAGCAACGCCGCGUGAGUGAUGAAGGCUUUCGGGUCGUAAAACUCUGUUGUUAGGGAAGAACAAGUGCUAGUUGAAUAAGCUGGCACCUUGACGGUACCUAACCAGAAAGCCACGGCUAACUACGUGCCAGCAGCCGCAGUAA